AGCCUGAACCGUUGACUCAGCC
rnacentral:miRNA from 1 species